AAACGCUGGAAAUCUCUCCCGCUCUCUUGAAGACGACAUUCUGCAAACUUCCUCUUACAGCUCCCAUUGUAGCUAUGGAACUCUCUCUUUCUCUCAUCCCAUGUUUACUUGCUCUAUCUCCCACCUGCGAAAUUGUGAAGAUGAUGAAAUCAGAGAGAGAGGAACGAUAGAGAGAUAGAGAAGGGAGAGAGGUAAUCUUCCUUUUCUUUUUCUACUCGCCAUUUUUACCUCUUCCUUAUCUUCUAAAGCCACUGAAUUUUUCUUAAUUGAAGAUUGAAAUCAAAAUAUUUAAACCUUUUACCCAAACAUUCUUUACACAAUUUCAUUUUUUUCUCCAUCCAAAAUUCGUCUUUCUAUACCUUUCCUAGAUUAAAGAAAGGGGAUCGAUUUCUAAAAUUUGAUGGUUGUUUGUCUUGAUUUUACAAGCUCAGGCACUAUAGUCCACAAUCACCUAAUUUUUAGGCUUGGCAAUUAUGUUUGAGAAUGUGAUGAUGCGAUUAUAUUUGGGAAUGUGAAUUAUUCAUUUUCUGAUUGGAAAUUUUUGCAGAAUUUAUUUGUCAAUUUUAUUAAUUACUGAUUUACUGGUUUGAAAAAAUUGGUAUAUAGUUGACUCUCUACAUGUGCGAGUUUAUGGAAAAUGUCAUUUGGCUGGAAUUUUUUUUUUAAGCAUCAAGUGUUGUCUUUGCAGAAUUAAUCAUCUGAAUUGGAUAAAGUAUUAGUGAGUGAUAAUAUAUGCACUGCUUCACUUUCUCUCGCUGAGAUGAUAUGGUUCAUUUUUGUUACUUUUUGAGUUCACAGAUGAGAUUUAAAUGGUCAUGAAAAGGUUUGUGAGAGAUUUUAGCAUAUGCAGUAGUUUUUUUUUUUUUUUUUUUUUUUUUUUUGAGAAAAAGCAUAUGCAGUAGUUUGAUUCCAAUGAUUUUGUCCAAAUGGUGCGUAUUAUAUUGAAUUUUACUAGCCUUGGGUUAAGCUUACCCAAGGUACUAACGUAGGCCCCGGUAAAAUAUUUUUUAUUCUAAUUCCUAACCCUAUAUGCAUUCUCGGAGUACUAAUAUAUCUGUACUAAUAUAUCUAAGUUUCAAAAUAGGGGUGCUCAGGUGCAAAGGUCAAAAUAAAUAUAGAAAAGUUUGGAGUAUUCUUGUAGGUUUGAUCAUUAAUUAACAGUUAUAUUCACAUUAAUCUCAUAUGAAAUUUAGUUUUAACGUUAUAAAAAAUUAAAUAAUAUAACAAAAAUUAUAGUUAAUAUUUAAUAUUAAAAAAUAAAAACGAGUAUAAAUAAUAAAUAAAAGUGAUAAUGACAUAAAAAAUGUAUGAGUACGAAUAAUGAGUAUGAGUACGAAUAAUAAGUAUAAUUAACGUGCAAUGCAUGUCCUAAAAAGACUAAUUCUAUUAAACGAAUAUAUGAUAAGAGAAUGUACCAUAUAUAUAUAUAUAUAAUUUUGAAGCAAAAAAAAAAAAAAAAAAAUUUAUGAAGUUGACUUGACACUUAUCUUUUGAGUAUUUCUUUUUUUUUUUUAACAAAUUUUUGAGCUUUUUUCUUUAAAUUUAAUUGGACAUAAAAACAUUUUUUAAAUUUUAAUCUUAUGUAUCUAAAAACUAUUAUCUAUAUACUCUCUUUCGGUUAAAUCUCAAUCCUCGUCUAUCUAUUAUUGGUUUAAGUUAAUAAAUAGAUGAGAAUUGAAAUUUAAGUUAAUUUCUCAAUGGAGCACAAUAUUCAGGUAUGCAAUCUAGCAUGGAGUAAGAACAUGAAUGUAUUGGUUAACAUUGUGUUAGGAGCUAUUUGUUUGGUUCUGUUAAAUAAAAGUCCUAUUCUUUAGGAAGUCCUAUUCGUUGGGAUUGUUAGGAUUUUUCUGCUGUAUUUUUUCUUUUAUCGUUGUGCUAUUCCUGUAAGGCUAUAUAUUGCCAGGUCUGAUUUCAAUGAAUGUAGACUGAAAAUCCAAUUGUUUGAGUUCUCUGUUCAAUCAGUUUUUCUGCUUAAACUUAACAAUUGGUAUCAGAGCCCCCACUGGGUUUCUGAAAAAGAAGGAAGAUUGCAAUCUUCAAGUAAUCAAACACAGAGAGAAUGUCAGACGACAAAACCUUAACAAAAAUUCCUCACUUCGAUGGUCACUAUGAUCAUUGGAGUGAAUUGAUGGAAAAUCUGCUCAGAGCAAAAGGUUUAUGGAGUUUGGUGGAGAAAGGUUUUACGGAACCACUAGAAGAGACGAAAUUGACCGAGGCUCAACAGACGCAGCUUGAUGAUGAUAGAACCAAAGAUUAUCAGGUAAAACAUUACCUGUUCCAGGCAAUUGAUCGAACCGUCUUUGAACAAAUCUUGGACCGUCGCACAUCCAAGAUUGUUUGGGACUCAUUGAAUCGAAAAUUUGGUGGAAAUCAAAAGGUGAAGAAAUCACUUCUUAAUGCAUUAAGAAGAGAGUUUGAAGUCCUGGAGAUGAGAAAUGAUGAAACAAUCACAGAGUAUUUUGCUAGAGUAAUGCUGGUUGCUAAUAAAAUGAGAAGCAACGGAGAAGAAAUGCCAGACAAGAAAAUUGUGGAGAAAAUUCUACGCACUCUAACUGAUAAGUUUACAUAUGUUGUAGUAUCCAUCGAAGAAUCAAAGGACACUGAUACUAUGUUCAUUGAUGAGUUACAGAGUUCAUUAGUGGUGCAUGAACAAAAAUUUUGUCGACCCAGUAACAAUAAUGAGGAUCAAGCUCUGAAAGUUGAAGGUAGAUCGAACACAAGCAACAGAGGAAGAGGAGCUUACAGAGGAAGGGGGCGUGGAAGAGGCAGAACAAGUUUCAACAAGGCAACUGCUGAAUGUUAUAGAUGUCAUGACUUAGGACAUUUUCAGUAUGAAUGUCCUAAGAAUAACGAAGCAAAUUAUGCUGAGCUCAAUGAAGAAGAUGAGCUGCUGUUAAUGGCCUAUGUUGAACUUCAUGAAGCAAAGAGAAGAGACGCAUGGUUUCUAGACUCCGGUUGCUCAAAUCACAUGUGUGGUGAUGAAAGUAUGUUUUCAAGUUUAGACACAACCUUUACUCACAGUGUCAAACUUGGAAAUAAUACCAAAAUGAAAGUUACUGGAAAGGGUACUGUGAAACUGUUUUUGUAGGGAAACUGUUACACUGUUGGAGAAGUGCAUUGGGCACCGGAACUCAAGAACAACCUUUUAAGCGUUGGACAGCUUCAAGACAAGGGGGUAACAGUGCUGUUCAAAGGUGGAGCAUGUAGCAUUUAUCAUCCACAAAAGGGAAAAAUCGCAGAAUCGAUUAUGAGUGCAAACCAAAUGUUUAUUUUGCUGGCAGAAUCAUCAAACACAAUAGGUGAAGGAAAAUGCCUACAAGUUUUAAAUACGAAUCAAUCAACACUUUGGCACUAUCGUUAUGGCCAUCUUAGUUACAAAGGUCUCCGUAUUUUGAAACACAAAAACAUGGUAGAAGGUCUGCCACAAAUUGUUGAUCCAAGCAUCACUUGCGAAGCAUGUAUGAAGGGCAAACAGCAUCGGACUCCCAUUCCAAAAAGAAGUCAGUGGAGAGCUUCUGAAAAAUUGAGUCUUGUUCAUGCGGAUUUAUGUGGUCCAAUUACACCAUCUUCAAGCAGCGGAAAAAGGUAUUUGCUGUGUUUUAUAGACGAUUUUUCUAGAAAAUCAUGGAUGUAUUUUCUUCUAGAAAAAUUAGAAACAUUAUAUAUUUUUAAAUGUUUCAAAAAUCUGGUGGAGAAAGAGAUUGGAAUGCCCAUAAAAUGCUUAAGAAUAGAUAGAGGAGGAGAAUUCAAUUCUGCAGAAUUCAAUGACUUUUGCAAACAACAUGGAGUAAAGAGACAACUGACCACAGCCUAUACUCCACAGCAAAACGGAGUAGCUGAGCGCAAAAAUCGCACGGUGAUGAAUUUGGUAAGAGCUAUGUUAACAGAAAAAGGGGUACCCAAGAAGUUUUGGCCUGAAGCUGUCAUGUGGGCAAAUCAUGUCUUGAAUCGAUCUCCAACACUUGCAGUAAAAGAUAUGACACCAGAAGAGGCUUGGAGUGGAGUGAAACCAGCAGUAGACCAUUUUCGAGUUUUUGAAUGUGUGGGAUAUGUUCAUGUCCCAGACGCUAAGAGAAAAAAACUUGAAGACAAAAGCAUGGUUUGUGUUUUUUUCGGAAUCAGCGGCGAAUCAAAAGGGUACAGGUUGUUCAAUCCAGUUGAAAAGAAAAUCAUAGUGAGCCGUGAUGUAAUUUUUAAUGAACAUCGUAAAUGGGAUUAGGAGAGUUUUGAGGAUGAAGCUGAUUUAGAUUGGGAAGACAGCAUCGAAAUUCCAGCAAAAGGAGAAAACACAAAACAAACAGGCUCUGCUUCAUAUGAUGCUAUUGAAACUACUGCCGAACCUAUUAUUACUGCCUCAUCUGCUGAUGAAUUUACUGCACCAAAUAACGAAUCAGAAUUGGCUUUAAAGGAGGGCAGAAGUCGACGUCCACCUAUAUGGUCAACUGAUUAUGUGUCCGGUGAAGGAUUGUCUGAAGAAGAUGUUAACAUGGAAGAUGAUAUUAAUAUGGUUUUUUUAAUGGUUUCAGAUCCUGUAAACUAUGAAGAAGCAGUCAAGAGCUCAAAGUGGAAACUGGUCAUGGAUGAGGAGAUUAAUUCCAUCGAGAAGAAUCAUACUUGGCAUCUAGUCGUUCUACCUGCUGGUGCGAAGAAAAUAGGAGUUAAAUGGAUUUAUAAAACUAAGCUAAAUGAGCUUGGUGAGGUUGAUAAAUACAAAGCGAGGUUGGUGGUGAAAGGCUACACACAAGAGCAUGGAGUUGAUUAUACUGAGGUUUUUGCGCCCGUGGCUAGAAUGGACACUGUAAGGAUGAUCAUAGCAUUUGCGGCACAGAAUGGCUGGACACUUUAUCAGUUAGAUGUCAAAUCAGCCUUUUUACAGGGAGAACUGAAAGAAGAUGUUUUUGUAGAAUAACCAAAAGGCUAUGUCAAGAGAGGGAAUGAGCAGCUGGUAUACAAACUUAACAAGGCUCUCUACGGGUUGAAACAGGCAGCUAGAGCCUGGUUUAAGCCGAAUUGAAGCCUACUUCAUCAAGGAAGGAUUUGAAAGCAGUUCUAGUGAGCACACACUCUUUGUUAAAAGGAAGGGAGGUAAAAUUCUUAUUGUAAGUGUGUACGUUGAUGAUUUAUUGUUUACCAGUACUGAUGAACUAUUGUUGGGAGAGUUCAAAUGUUCUAUGAAAAGGGAAUUUGAUAUGACUGAUCUGGGUCAAAUGAGGUUUUUUCUCGGAAUUAAAGUCAUACAACGUUCAGAUGGCAUUUUUAUAUGUCAAAGGAAAUAUGCUGCUGAGGUUUUGAAGUGAUUUGAGGUAGAAAAUUUCAACUCUGUUUGUAAUCCUAUUGUUCCUGGAUAAAAAAUCAGUAAAGAUGAAAAUGGUGUCAAGGUGGAUGCAACUCUUUACAAGCAGAUUGUGGGAAGUCUGAUGUACCUUACUGCCACUCGUCCUGACCUAAUGUUUGUGGUAAGCUUAAUAAGUCAUUUUAUGGCUUUCCCAACGCAAAUGCACUUUGCAGCAGCGAAAAGAGUUUUGAGGUACUUGAAAGGCACAAUUAAUUUUGGUGUGUUCUAUAAAAGGGGUGGAAUUAGUGAAUUGAUUGGUUUCACUGAUAGUGAUUAUGCCGGCGAUAUGGAAGAUAGCAAAAGUACUUCGGGCUAUGUGUUUAUGAUGAGUGAAGGAGUAGUAGCUUGGUCAUCCAGAAAACAACUUAUAGUCACCUUAUCAACCACAGAAGCGGAAUUUGUCGCCGCCGCUGCGUGUGCAUGUCAAGCUGUCUGGAAGAGAAGAAUACUCAGAGAGAUUGGACAUUUGCAAGUGGAAGGAACAAAACUUAUGUGUGAUAAUGCUUCACUAUCAAACUGUCAAAAAACCCAGUUUUACACGGACGUUCUAAGCAUAUCAGAGUAAGGUUUCAUUUUCUUAGAGAUCUUACCAAAGAAGGAACAAUUAACUUAUUGUUUUGUGGCACUCAUGAUCAACUUUCUGAUUUAUUUACAAAGCCUCUCAAGUUGGAAGCAUUUCAGAGAUUGCGCAAGAAACUUGGUAUGUGUGAUGUUUCAGACUUAAACUAAUUCUUGUCUAGAGAAGAAUAAGUUUAAGGGAGGGAAUGUUAGGAGCUGUUUGUUUGGUUCUAUUAAAUAAAAGUCCUAUUCUUUAGGAAGUCCUAUUCAUUGGGAUUGUUAGGAUUUUUCUGCUGUAUUUUUUCUUUUAUCUUUGUGCUAUUCCUGUAAGGCUAUAUAUUGCCAGGUCUGAUUUCAAUGAAUGUAGACUGGAAAUCCAAUUGUUUGAGUUCUCUGUUCAAUCAGUUUUUCUGCUUAAACUUAACACAUUGAUGGUUACUCCUAAAAUCAAAUUAUGGUGUGAAAAUAUCUGUUAUUAACAAAGGUAUUAUUUAGUGAAAUUGUUAAAGAUAAAAACCUUUUCAUAAUUGAAUACAUGUAACCAAAUCUGUAUUUUUUUUCUUGAAAUACGUACAGAUUGCAAGCCUAUUUGACCAUAAUUUGUAUAGUUUUUAAGUACUCUAUCUUGCCAUUUCCCUUGAUGGUUAGGUAUACAAUGUUGCCUCUUUGACAUAAACAACAUUUUUGCUUCUUUUUUUUUUUUUUUUCUCAGUGUUUGUUUCAAUUGCUUUAGGAAAACCAUGACAUUUCUAACUUUCCCAAACCAUGGUUUACUAACUCUAAACAUUGCGGUCAUAGUUUACAAAAGCAGUAAAAACAAAAAACCAAACUUAUCAAUCUUAUAAUCUUAUAAGUAAAACUUUUGUCUUCACAGACAAACUUAUCAAGUAAUGAACUCAAUUAUGAAUUGCAGAUAUAGUGCCUAGAGUGGAGAUGAGAAUUUGAGGUUUUGGAAUAUUGUUCCAUUGAUAAAGAAACUAGAAGGCAGGACUACUUAACACCAGGCAUAGCCGGUUCAUUGAACCGCCAAUUCCGGUUCACGGAACCAACAGUUCAAAAUUUUCAAAAUAUUGAAUCUAAAUUGACCCUUGAAUUGCCUGUUACGGUGCGGUUCUGGUUUCAGCCGGUUCCGGUGCAGUUUUGAUUACAAUUUUCGGCGAUAUAUGUUUUUUUUUUUAAAAAAUCGGUUCUAACGUUAUAUUUUUCUUUUAAAAAUAUUUAAUAUAAGUUUAAAAAAUAUUGGUAAAUUUUAUUUUAAAUAAAUUUUACAGUGCUCAUAUUAAUAUAAGAAUAAAAUUAAUUAAUUUUCCAAAAUAUCAAAUAAAUUAUCAUUUUAUUUUGUUUAAAUGUUAUUAAUUAAAUAAAUUAUAAGAAAAUUUUGAAACUACUUCAAAAGAAUGUAAUUUUAAACUUAGUAAACAAUUUAAAAGGGUAAGAAAAAGUUAAAAACAAUAUAAAUUUAGACUAAAUAUUUCUCUCUUUUUUUACCAUUUUACUUUUUAAAUUUUUAACUUUUAAAGUAAAGUGUAUUUUAAAAAAAAAAUCUUAAGUAAAGUAUAUCAUGUAAUAAAAUAUUAUUGAGAUUUUUAGAGAUGUAUAAGAUAGGCUAAGUGAUUCUCAUUUUAAAAAUAAAAAUAGAAAAAUUUUCGGUUCUAACCAAAUCAGAACUGUUGGUUUAUGGCCGGUUUAGGUUCAAAUUUUAGCAUUCACACGAAUCUCAACCGGCCCUUGAACCGACAGUUCCGGUUCAAAACUUUGAACCGAUGGUUCCAAUCCGUUUCAGUUCAUCUACAAUACAGUUCGGUUCCGGUUCAAAAUGAACCCGUGGCUGUGCCUACUUAACACAGUCCAUUUUACUAGUUUUCAUAUGCUAAGAUUCUUCCAUUAAACUAUUUCUCUAUGUUUUCAGGCACGGUCAAAGAUACAGGUUUUUGAUCAGUGGAAAGAACUCAAAUUCGGUGAUAAAAUCCUUUGCAAAAAUCAACUUAAG
rnacentral:lncRNA from 1 species